rnacentral:rRNA from 1 species
UACGUAGGGUGCAAGCGUUGUCCGGAAUCAUUGGGCGUAAAGAGCGUGUAGGCGGCCCUGUAAGUCCGCUGUGAAAGUCCAGGGCUCAACCCUGGGAUGCCGGUGGAUACUGUCGGGCUCGAGUCCGGAAGAGGAGUGUGGAAUUCCUGGUGUAGCGGUGAAAUGCGCAGAUAUCAGGAGGAACACCAAUGGCGAAGGCAGCACUCUGGGACGUGACUGACGCUGAGACGCGAAAGCGUGGGGAGCAAACAGG